GGCUGGGAGAGUGGUAGUUUAUGCCUGCAAUGUGAGGGGCUUACAGUCUAGGCUGGCAUCUUCCCAGAUUCAAGGAUGGAAGAGCAAACUCAGAGAGAGAGGGAAAGAAAGAACCCAGGGCUAGAGAAGAUGCUCUCAGAUCUUCCACCUUCUUCCUGUUAGGGAUGCCAGAUUCUCAAAUAGGAAGAUGGCAGUCAGUCUCACAUCAUCCUGCUCCUGUGAUGACAGAUGCAUGUCAUGGAGCAAUCCUGAUUCCUAGGCCAGAGAGUACCCUCAGCCUAAGAGAGAUGCAAGAAGCCAGCAGCCUGUACAAGAACGGAACACAUGACCACUGUGCAGGUGACCACAGGGGAAGGCCAAGGAAGAUGGAUGGGACACCGACAUUGCUGGCUACCAGCACUCCCUGAAUCUCUUUCUGUUCCCUGGGAGGGAAGAUUCCUGAAUGGGCUCACUUACAUCUUCAAAGAAG